rnacentral:rRNA from 1 species
GAUGAACGCUGGCGGCGUGCCUAAUACAUGCCAGUCGAGCGAACAGACGAGAGUGCUUGCACUCUCUGACGUUAGCGGCGGACGGGUGAGUAACACGUGGGUAACCUACCUAUAAGACUGGGAUAACUUCGGGAAACCGGAGCUAAUACCGGAUAAUAUUUAGCUUCGCAUGAAGCAAUAGUGAAAGACGGUUCUGCUGUCACUUAUAGAUGGACCCGCGGUGUAUUAGCUAGUUGGUGAGGUAACGGCUCACCAAGGCAACGAUACAUAGCCGACCUGAGAGGGUGAUCGGCCACACUGGGACUGAGACACGGCCCAGACUCCUACGGGAGGCAGCAGUAGGGAAUCUUCCGCAAUGGACGAAAGUCUGACGGAGCAAUGCCGCGUGAGUGAAGAAGGUUUUCGGAUCGUAAAACUCUGUUGUAAGGGAAGAACAAGUACGUUAGUAACUGAACGUACCUUGACGGUACCUUACCAGAAAGCCACGGCUAACUACGU